AACGAACGCUGGCGGCGCGCUUAACACAUGCAAGUCGAACGGGCGGUUAUCUUCGGGUGACCGUCAGUGGCGGACGGGUGCGUAACGCGUGGGAACCUGCCUUCUGGUUCGGGAUAACCGUGGGAAACCAUGGCUAAGACCGGAUAUUCCCGGGGUGUGAGCUUCGGGGAAAGUCUUGUCGCCGGAAGAUGGGCCCGCGUCGGAUUAGCUUGCCGGUGGGGUAGAGGCCUACCGGGGCUGCGGUCCGUAGCUGGUCUGCGAGGAUGGCCAGCCACACUGGGACUGAGACACGGCCCAGACUCCUACGGGAGGCAGCAGUGGGGAAUCUUGGACAAUGGGCGCAAGCCUGAUCCAGCGACGCCGCGUGGGUGAUGAAGGCCUUCGGGUUGUAAAGCCCUUUUGCCGGGGACGAUGAUGACGGUACCCGGAGAAUAAGCACCGGCUAACUCCGUGCCAGCCGCCGCGGUAAAAC
rnacentral:rRNA from 1 species